rnacentral:tRNA from 1 species
AGUCCUGAGGUGUUCACACGCCGAGUUGCAAACUCGGAAUCGAGAUUUAGAGAAUCCCCCGGACUU